rnacentral:rRNA from 1 species
GAAAGAUGGCUUUGGCUAUCACUCUGGGAUGGACCUGCGGUGCAUUAGCUAGUUGGUAAGGUAACGGCUUACCAAGGCGAUGAUGCAUAGCCGAGUUGAGAGACUGAUCGGCCACAAUGGAACUGAGACACGGUCCAUACUCCUACGGGAGGCAGCAGUAGGGAAUCUUCCACAAUGGGCGCAAGCCUGAUGGAGCAACACCGCGUGAGUGAAGAAGGGUUUCGGCUCGUAAAACUCUGUUGUUGGAGAAGAACGUGCGUGAGAGUAACUGUUCACGCAGUGACGGUAUCCAACCAGAAAGUCACGGCUAACUACGUGCCAGCAGCCGCGGUAAUACGUAGGUGGCAAGCGUUAUCCGGAUUUAUUGGGCGUAAAGCGAGCGCAGGCGGUUGCUUAGGUCUGAUGUGAAAGCCUUCGGCUUAACCGAAGAAGUGCAUCGGAAACCGGGCGACUUGAGUGCAGAAGAGGACAGUGGAACUCCAUGUGUAGCGGUGGAAUGCGUAGAUAUAUGGAAGAACACCAGUGGCGAAGGCGGCUGUCUGGUCUGCAACUGACGCUGAGGCUCGAAAGCAUGGGUAGCGAACAGGAUUAGAUACCCUGGUAGUCCAUGCCGUAAACGAUGAGUGCUAGGUGUUGGAGGGUUUCCGCCCUUCA